rnacentral:rRNA from 1 species
ACGAACGCUGGCGGCGUGCUUAACACAUGCAAGUCGAACGGAAAGGCCCUGCUUGCCGGGUACUCGAGUGGCGAACGGGUGAGUAACACGUGGGUGAUCUGCCCUGCACUUCGGGAUAAGCUUGGGAAACUGGGUCUAAUACCGGAUAGGAACCAUCUUUAGUGUGGUGGUUGGAAAGUUUUUUCGGUGUAGGAUGAGCUCGCGGCCUAUCAGCUUGUUGGUGGGGUAAUGGCCUACCAAGGCGGCGACGGGUAGCCGGCCUGAGAGGGUGUACGGCCACAUUGGGACUGAGAUACGGCCCAGACUCCUACGGGAGGCAGCAGUGGGGAAUAUUGCACAAUGGGCGCAAGCCUGAUGCAGCGACGCCGCGUGGGGGAUGAAGGCCUUCGGGUUGUAAACUCCUUUCGCUAGGGACGAAGCUUUGUUGUGACGGUACCUAGAUAAGAAGCACCGGCUAACUACGUG